CUUGAGACUUCUCAGUUUGGAUCAUGUCAUGGAUGCUUUGACUCUGAUACUUAAUCAAGUGCCAAUUCCCAUGAGACACUUCAUCAUAGUGCUAUUAUGCUGUUUUAAUUGUCAUGGCUACAUUGAACAGAAACCUGGCAUUUGCAGUUUCAUGCUCUCUCAGCCUCAGAGGAAGACAAAGAUAGCCUCCUUCUGAACAAAUCUUGUCAAGGAAACCCUGUGAUAGAGUCCAUUGGAUGAAACCAUGGCAUUUAAAGUGGAAGCUUAUCACUAAAAUGGUUUAGUAUGAAAAGGCCUAUGAAUAGCACUGAAGACCUUUGGAAGGUUUAAGAGUCUUUUGUGGGGAUGCCCGGAAGACCUACAAACUUCUUUAAAAGACUCAAAGGACCUUUCUUUCAUAUACAGUGGGACCUCCAGAUCCUUGAAUUCCAGCAACUAUGGGUCAUCAUGUUCCAUGUUGGUAAAUGGUGAGGAUGUGAAUACAGACAUGCUGAAGUACU